rnacentral:lncRNA from 1 species
GUACUUUUACCCAAUAAUAGUCGGGGUCAAUUCCUUAGGGAAUGAGAAUGAGGUAAGCUACAGAGUGUUAUUAACAACCAUGAGUAAUGCGUAAUGUAAAGAAACUAAUACGAAGAAUGUAAAUUGGGGGGUUUUAGUAACAAAUUCCAAUUAAUUAAAUGAUUUUUAAACAAGAUUACCAACAGAGAUUUUUAAGACAUAUAAUUAACAUAAUUAGAAGUUCUUUGGGUUAUGCUUCCAAGGGGAUGAUUUUAUGUAUGGGUAAGUAGUGACAUCUUGAUGGCGCUCAAACU